rnacentral:lncRNA from 1 species
CAGCCGUGGACACAGACUCCCCUCCCCCCAUCUUCUUUUUUUCUCCCCGGAGGCCGGCCAUCUCUAAGCCAUCAUCCACUCCCCUCUUUCGGCCAUUCCUUCUUCCCAGCUCUCGCCGCCGAACACGGCGACGCCGCCUCCAACAAGCUACACGCUGGACAGAAGCCAGAGCAGUUCCCCCUCGCUCUCCAUCGCGCCGGUUGCAUCACCAUCUUCCCCGACCUCUCCUCUCCGUCCAGCCUCUGACAGCAACAACGACCACAGCAGCGACCCCAACAGCGCCGCCCGAAGUAGAGGCUGACCCGGGGCAAAGUCGAUCUGAAGAAGGGCGAACCGAUCUGCAGAGAAUCAGAUCAAAGAGAAGCAGAUCUGUAACGGAAAGAAAAAAAUUAAAACGAACUGCUGUGUUGUGAGUUUUUGUUCUUGUUGCAGGUGGCGGUGACCUUCACCGCCGGCGAGGAAAGGAAGAGGAGAAGGAGCCGUUCCAGCCCCUCUGUUUUUUUCAGGUUUUCCAUCGGCGGCGCGUGAACCCACGCACCGCCAGUGGCGGUGGCGCGUGGGAAGACGCGCCGCCACUGUCCCCAUCACUGUUCCGGGUCCCAGAAGUCUUUCCCUGCAAUUUUUGGAGUUUUAGGGACAAUUGUGUAAAUGUUGAAUUAAUUAAUGUAAUUUUUAUUUAUUUGUUUUAAUUUUGAAUUUUUAUUUGUAUUUGUAUUUGUAUUUAUAUUGUGAUGUAAAAGAAAAAAAAAGAAAAUAAAUAAUAAAAAGAGAUGUGUGCUUGUUUGUAUUUUUAUUUAUGUUAUUAAAAUGUAAAAAUAAAAGAAGGACAAAUAGAAUUAAUUGUUAAUUUAAAUAUGGUUAAAUAUCUCAAGGACAAAUAAAAUCAAGUUGUAUUUUCCCUGAAAAUGUAAGAACAAGUUUUUACAUAUAUUCGGGGAUUCAAUAACUGAUUUAUUCAAGCCUUAGAAUUUAAUUAAUAUUUUAAAUUUUCUUAAAUAUGGUUAAAUAUCUCAAGGACAAAUAAAAUCAAGUUGUACUUUCCACGAAAAUGUAAGAACAAGUUUUUUACAUAUAUUCGGGGAUUCAAUAACUAAUUUAUUCAAGCCUUAGAAUUUAAUUAAUAUUUUAAAUUUUCAAAUCACAUUAGAACACAAUGCAGCUUACCUCAGGUAGGGUGUGUUAGGGGUGCUAAUACCUUCCCUAACCACAACCAGUCCCUUACCCGCGAUCUCUGACAAGACCAGUACAUCAAGUUUCCUAGUAGCCCUCAAUGAAUUACUAGGUGGCGACUCCAACGAACAAAUUCAAAGCAAACGCAAAAACAAGAAAAAAAUCGCCAGCCCGAUGCCGCGCUUCGCUUUGGAUUUUUUUUGGGGUGCGACAGAAUGGCGACUCCACUGGGGAAGGUAUUGUUUUCAACUUUAUCGGACUAAGCUUGUGUUUUGAUGUGUUCAAUUUUUUUUUUUAUGCUUUGUUUUGUUUAUUUGUGUUUUAUUCACGCAUUGUAUAUAUUUCUCUCAUGCAUCACAAGUUUUAAUUUUUGAAAGCACACACCAACUUUAGGUUAGGUGGGGGACUAGCAGCUUACCUUACGACUUGAGUCAAGGUUUAAGUUUGUGUAAACCCCAACUCUUUGUUGAGUGCUUAGACUGGUAAUAGUUGGACACGUGCCAACCAAUUACCUACUGGGCUCCUAUAUUGCCUUUACGAAGGCGAUCACUGGGACAACAAGAGACCCUUUUAGAGACCAAGUAGCAAACCUACCAUGUCUCACGUAAAAUGAAUAGAGCCUGUCUUUAGGAUGUAUGUGCUAUUGUUUGCAUUUGACCAAACCUUUCUUGAAGCAUCUUGAACUCAAGACUUGUAGGUGACACAUUGGCCGUCACUCCGAAAAUUUUCAUUGUAGAGUUUGGGCAAAAAUCACGAUUCUUGUCCAUCAUACAAGAGUUACGACCAUAUUGUCACCCCUCGAAGGGUGAGUUCGUCAUAUAGAUUACAUAUUAAUACAUUUAUCAUGCAUGUACCGGGUUGAAAAGUAGGUUCCCCCGCACAAGUUGUGCUGCACGUGAUUGAAGAAAAAUGAUGGAGGUGAAGAAAGGUGUCAAAUAGAGGCUCAUUAUCAGUUUGAGUUUGAGAACAUCAAAGGUGAAAUAGCUGGACUCAGAUCUGCUCGAACAAGUGUUGAGCAUCAAAUGGAAAGAGAAUGUCUGCACAGUCUUCUGUGGGAACACUGCUUGUCCACCGUCCAAUUGAAGCUGCCUCUCCUUUUCAGUCAUGAACAACAACAGCAAUGCCUUCAGUCAUCAACUAAUGACAACCCUGUUUCUUGUCCAGUGGCACUGUUAAAUGUUCAUCGCCUCCACAUCAUCUAAUGGAACCAAAAGACUACUAGCCUCUUGUUCAUGGUGCAUUAGUCUGUUUUGAAGUUACCCCAAUUAUGAGCUCAAUUCCAGUUCAGCAGCACAAGAUGUUGGUCUGAAAAACCAUGAUCAGACACUGAAUUUCAACGCGUGGCACCAGCAAAACAUUAUAGUAGGCAGAAAAGUCAGACCUGGUCUGAUAAUAUUAGCAGUUGUCAAACUUCAAUAUGGCACAGCUCUCUCUACAAAAAUCCAUUUAUGGCUUUGCAAAUUGGGAAUGCAAGAGGGGAUUUAUAAGUUGCAUAUGCCCACAAAUAUUUCUCUCAUCAGCUUCAGCACGAAGACCUUUUAGUAGGUUGAAGAGUCAGACCUGGUCUGAAAAAUAUGAGCAGACAUCAAACUUCAACAUAGCAGAGCUCUCUCGGCAGGAAUCUGUUUGUGGAUCCGCAAGUGGGAAAUCCAAGAAGGAAUACAGUAGUUUCAAAUCAUCUAUGAUUUUCCUCCAACAAUGUCGGCAUUAAAACUCAAAAGUAGAGAGAAGAGACAUGCCUAGACUAAAAAAAAAACAUGAAGGAUACUGAAACUUCAACAGAGCAGGACUUCCUCUAUAGGUGUUUGUUUGCUGCACUGUCAGUGAAAAAUCGAAGAGGGGACAAAGGAGUUUUAUAUUCAUCAGGUGCUUCUCCCAUAAAAGAGAUAAGGCAUGAUUCCACUCGUCGGUAGUGGCGAUACUACAAGUUUCUGGGCGCUGCCAAGAUUACCAAGCUGUUGGAAAGUUUUCUAACAAUCCUCAACCAACCACAACAACAUUGAAAUGAUGUUGUGAGGAUUUGCCGAAGAAUUGAGCAAGCUAUGAAGAGAGGAAAGAUUGAAGGAUCUGUCAUGGAUUCCAGAACAAUGAUGAGAGGUAAAUCAGGAGAUGACUUCAACGGUGUGAACCCUUAAUUAUGUGGUAUAGCCAGGUCUCACGGUAGCGUCAAUUGCUCAAAUGUCUUUGCCAAGAUUGACAUUCCUCUGCCAUUUAAGUUUGUCGACCAGCAUCUGCCAGAUUCCAGAAUUUUGCUUGACUCCGACAAAUCCCAUGCAACCACCAAUUUCUAGGUGUUUCAAUCUGGACAAGAGAUGUGUUCUCAUGGUGGGGGUCCUCGGCCAUUUUAGUUAAGCAGAUGCAAGAGUUUCAAGAGUCGAGCUCAAUUUGCGAAAGAUGAUGUCGUCAAUCAUUUUCAGAAUGACAAGUGAUCGGAAUUGCUAGGUAAAACAUAGAUAUUGCCAGAGAAGCUGAUCCAAGAAGGAGUUAAACUGUCAAGCAUUUUUGUUAUGGAUUUUUGACAUUUUGCAUUUUGUUUUGGGAUCACAUCACAUCCUUAAACGAAACAUGUCUUUUCUUUGUCUUCUGGUUGUUUUGAAAUCAAGAGAUACUUCUUUCAAAGGGUAUUUUGACAAAAUAUUUUGGUCAAACUCCAACAUGCGAUAAAGGUUAAUCAAUCCUGAAGAUUAAAAGUGUUUUGAUUGCAGAAAUGACAUGAGGUGACCGAAUAAAUUUUGAACUCAUACUUCCUGAAACUGAACCACACAUCAUGUAGCUAAGUUUUAACAGUAUGCAUAAUGACAUGUAGUGGUUUCGGUAGCUAUGGACUCGUGAAUCAUGACUCUUACAAGUCCAAAUCAUUACACUAGAUGAGGUCAAAAUUUAUCGGUUCUAACCGACCUUGCUUGAAAUGAGAAAAGGCCAUCUUUGAUAUCCUGUCACUUUCUAAAAAUUAUCUCCCUUGUAGUCCCAUUUUGAGCUGGAUAGAAUAUUUUUUUAUAAAAACCCUGACUAGGAUCACACCCCACACUGGGGGCAAAUGAGAAAUAUUUUGGAGACACGGAUAAAAUCAAUGGAUCAAAGAAAAGCUUAGAACAAAAGUCCAAUGUUUGAGAAAGGGCUAGAAGAAGAAAAUCCAUAGAUUGAGGGCCAUCCAAGAAAAACUUUGAGGAAAUGAAAGAAAAUGCCUACCAAUUCUAAGAGAGGCAAGACAACUUUCAAAUGAGAAAAGACAAUAAAUGCCAAAAGUCAACACUAGAAAAAUCGAUGCUUCAUAUCUUUUGGGUGUGUCUAGGAUAAAGCCUCUAAUGUCUUCAAAAUUUUAGAUUGGUUAUUCAUCAAAGAAAAAGUUGGAUUUGCAUUAUGACCUAUGUUAAGAAAUUCUGAUAUUUGAGAUUAACAAGGUUAUAUGUCACUUUCUCUACAAUGACGACAAGAGAAAGAGAAUCGAUGAAUAGUUAAUGUUGAUCCUAGGUCGUUGAAACCCUCAAACACCUUUUGAGCCUUUGAAAUUCUUUUCUUUCAUAGCCAUGAACCAUAGCCUGCAUUACGUGCUUUUAAAAGCCCUUUUUAAUCAAGCAAGCAAUUUGAAUCGAUAAAUGGCGCUCUCAAAACUUGAAGAGUUUUUCCAUAAGGGUGUGACUUCAUGAAUUAAUCUACUGGUUAUUAUGCAUGCUGAUAAAAUAAAUGCUAAGAAAAGAAACAACCUUUCUUGAUAAAGCCUGAGCAUCUUUUUUUGAAAUUCAUAAAAAUGUCACCUCAUCACACCAUCAAAAGAUAUACCCAAAAUCAGAGUUUAAAGUGGACACAAAGAACCAUGAAAAAGUCAUUUUAAAUCUUACAACGGGUCAUUUCUGUUUUCAAAAUACAAGACAAUCAAAGGACUGCAUUGAAUAGUGUGUUGGGUCUUUGACCAAAGAAGUUUGAAUUUCAAAAAAAAAAAAAAAUAAUUUAAAAAACAGACAUCUCUCUGAUUUCAUUUCAACAAUUAGACUUGAAUAGACAUGAUCGUUGAAAUGUGAGAUUUGAUUCCAGAACAAGAAAGAUUUUCAAACAAGAACAUCAUUGAGUUUGCAAAAUCCUUGACAAAAAUGACAUCAACUCUUCUCAAAACUCCUUGAAAGGUUGACCACUUGGGGGCAAUAUAGUGGACCCUUGGAAGAAAAGCAAACAAUAUCCAGAUCAGCUGGGGGCAAAGAAAGAAUCACAUGAUGAGUCAUCAAAGUCCACCAAAGUCACUCCUGGCAUUCACAAAAGCCAUUUGUUUGUAAACAGAAGAAUGAGCAUGUUCAGAUCAACUAGGAGCAAUGUUGUUCAAAGACAAUCCAUGAUUUAGUGAACUUCAGCAGCAAUUGAUGAGCAACGCUGCACUUGAAGGAUAUUUUCAUAUCUUCAUCUUGGGUUACCCUGUAAAACAUGGCUAUGACUCCUGCAUAUGUUAUCGGGUGAGUGCAUUUGAAUGAACAUCGAACAUAUGCAUACCACUAAGAUUGACUAUGGGACCAUCUAUUCUGAAGCUCAAAUGCGCACUUCACCGCAUGAAUAUGGGUGAUAACAUGAACAUCAUUGAUGAUGCCAAACAUUUUUUUCACGAUCUGAUUUGACAAGAACUAAGGAAAAACAUCGCGCUUACAACGAUGAGCAUUCCUCUACAAAGAAUGAGAUGCAUGUGGGAUCACGCGGCAGUUCCAUGAUUAUGGAUGACCACAUAUACUUGAAUGAUGUUUCAACUGGAGGCAAGUUCAUGACUGAUUAACAAUCUUGAUGGGUGUUGGCAUGAUGCACACAAUCAACCAAGGAUAAUUCUCAGAAGAAUCCAAGAGAGAAAAUUCUUCAUGAUGAAUCAAGCACACCACACUUGGGGGCAUUGUCAAGCUUGAUGAGCGAUGCGAGCAGUAAUUGUCGAAGACAGCCCGGGAUGGGCAUUGCAUUUACAGCUGAGUGGAUGGCUAGCACAUGAAUGAGCCAAUGCAUCGAAAGAACAAAGAAAGCUUUGGGAUGCAAACAAGGGCACCCUAUGACGAUGGAGCAUCAAGGAGGGGGGGACCUAUAUUUCAAAUCAGGUAAGGAUGCAUGCAUAUCAUCUAACAACCAUUUGCAUAUAUUUUGAAUUGUUACAGGAAAAUCCUUAAUGAGGUCCAGCAAGAUGGUGGAAAGAGAAAGAAGCAUUGUGGUGAUGAUAAUAAAGAAUCGGUUUUUGAUCAUGGAAUAAAAGGACGAUGGGAUAAACUUACCAUUAGGAAAAUCCAAAGAAAUGAAAGAUCAACCUUGCAAUCGAGAAGCCUCGAGUUUCCAACCCUUGCAGUUAGGAAACACCGAGUUUUCCAAACCCUAUGAUUGGGAAUUAUCAGGAAGCACCAAGUUUUUCCAGCCUUUCUUCUGUCAUCCCUUCAGGACUUCGCCAGGUAAGUCCUAUUUUUCACACUUGUCAUAUCACAUUUUUUUCCAUCCGGGUAGGUCACCCAUGACAAUGAGACCGCACUUCAUCAUAUUUUUUCCAUCUGGGUAGGUCACCCAUUACAAUGAGACCGCACUUCACAUUCUUUCUAUCUGGGUAGGUCACCUAUAAGAAUGAGGCCAUUCCUCCCCCUGGGUAGGUCACCCAAAGAAUGAGACCACUCUUUCUUUUUCCACUUGGGUAGGUCACCCAUCACAAUGAGACCAUCAUCUUUUCUGGGUAGGUCACCCAAAGAAUGAGACCAUUCUCCAUUUUUUUUACCUGGGUAGGUCACCCAUAAGAAUGAGGCCAUUCCUCCCCCUGGGUAGGUCACCCAAAGAAUGAGACCACUCUUCCUCUUUUCACUUGGGUAGGUCACCCAUCACAAUGAGACCACCAUUUUUUCUGGGUAGGUCACCCAAGAAUGAGACCAUUCUCCAUCUUUUUUUUACAUGGGUAGGUCACCCAAAGAAUGAGGCCAUUCCUUCCCCUGGGUAGGUCACCCAAAGAAUGAGACCACUCUUCCUCCUUUCCACUUGGGUAGGUCACCCAUUAUAAUGAGACCACUUUUUACACAUUUUUUUGUUCCAUGAAUGAGGUCGCCAGAUGAGAUCUCAGGAUAAUAAAAAAAAAGGAAGAUUGCUGAUGGAGUGGAUAUUGAGCAAACAGAAAGAUAAGUUUUUCUUUACAAAGCUUACUAUGCAAAACAUCGAGGAUUUUUGCUUCGUAAGCAUUGUAAAGAGGGGGCAUCUGUUGCUACCCAAUUUUUGACCCAUAUUUUUGAUAUAUUUUCAAAAAAAAAAAAUCCAAAAAUAGAGAAAAACAAAGAAAAUCCAAAAAAAUAUGUUUUUAAUAUAUUUUUGUCAUUUUAGCAUUUUCAACGUCGUCUAAAUUUUUUUAAAAAAAUUUUAAGGGUCUUUCGAACGCGUUCGACUUUUCACGCGUCAUUUUUAAAAUAAUUUAUUUUUCGUAUUUGAGUCGACGUUGAUAUUGCUCGUUUUCAAAAAAUACAAAAAAACAAGAAAAAUCAGAUUUUACAAAAAAAAAGAAAAUUAAGGGACCAAUUUUGAGGCCGAAACAAUAUUUUUAUCUAUGUGCAGGGAAUUUUGAAUUUUGAAAGAAGGGGGCAACCUAAGAUUUUUCUCUUCACCCGAAACUAGCCGUUCCCCCUACCCUGUGCAAAAACAAAGACAGCCCCUUUGCUAUUUAAUUUUCGUCUCUUUCCCCUCACAAACGGGCCUCACAGCAUCUCUCUUGGGGGGCUCUCCCUCUGAAACUAAAGCCAUUUUUUUUCUUCUUCUCACAGAAAACCCCCCUCCCCCAUUUUAAUUUUCUCCUCUCCCUCACUUGGCUGCCAGCUUUGUCACCGGCAUCACAGCAGCCCCUCCCUCAUUUUUUUUUUCUUCCCAGCCGUGGACACAGACUCCCCUCCCCCCAUCUUCUUUUUUUUUCUCCCCGGAGGCCGGCCAUCUCUAAGCCAUCAUCCACUCCCCUCUUUCGGCCAUUCCUUCUUCCCAGCUCUCGCCGCCGAACACGGCGACGCCGCCUCCAACAAGCUACACGCCGGACAGAAGCCAGAGCAGUUCCCCCUCGCUCUCCCAUCGCGCCGGUUGCAUCACCAUCUUCCCCGACCUCUCCUCUCCGUCCAGCCUCUGACAGCAACAACGACCACAGCAGCGACCCCAACAGCGCCGCCCGAAGUAGAGGCUGACCCGGGGCAAAGUCGAUCUGAAGAAGGGCGAACCGAUCUGCAGAGAAUCAGAUCAAAGAGAAGCAGAUCUGUAACGGAAAGAAAAAAAUUAAAACGAACUGCUGUGUUGUGAGUUUUUGCUCUUGUUGCAGGUGGCGGUGACCUUCACCGCCGGCGAGGAAAGGAAGAGGAGAAGGAG